AUUGAACGCUGGCGGCAGGCCUAACACAUGCAAGUCGAGCGGAUGAAGGGAGCUUGCUCCUGGAUUCAGCGGCGGACGGGUGAGUAAUGCCUAGGAAUCUGCCUGGUAGUGGGGGAUAACGUCCGGAAACGGGCGCUAAUACCGCAUACGUCCUGAGGGAGAAAGUGGGGGAUCUUCGGACCUCACGCUAUCAGAUGAGCCUAGGUCGGAUUAGCUAGUUGGUGGGGUAAAGGCCUACCGAGGCGACGAUCCGUAGCUGGUCUGAGAGGAUGAUCAGUCACACUGGAACUGAGACACGGUCCAGACUCCUACGGGAGGCAGCAGUGGGGAAUAUUGGACAAUGGGCGAAAGCCUGAUCCAGCCGUGCCGCGUGUGUGAAGAAGGUCUUCGGAUUGUAAAGCACUUUAAGUUGGGAGGAAGGGCAGUAAGUUAAUACCUUGCUGUUUUGACGUUACCAACAGAAUAAGCACCGGCUAACUUCGUG
rnacentral:rRNA from 1 species